rnacentral:tRNA from 1 species
GGCCCUAUGGUAUUAGCGGUAAACAUACUCCCCUGUCACGGGAGAGUCACGGGUUCGAAUCCCGUUGGGGCCG